GGAGGGGUGUCAGAGUGGCCUAAUGAAACGGCUUGGAAAGCCGUGUCCCUUUACCGGGACCCGUGGGUUCGAAUCCCACCCCCUCCGCCA
rnacentral:tRNA from 1 species